ensembl:lncRNA novel transcript
GCUCUUGAGCUGCUUGCUCAAGGCCUUUCCUUCCCUAUGGAGUGUACUUUGUUUAAAUCCCUGCCUUCACUGCCUUGCUUUGUUUGUGUGUUUUGUUCAAUUCUCUGUUAAAAACGCCAAGAACCUGGACAACUACCCUAAACAGGCAACAAAAGCACAAAGACGUUGUACACAAAAAUAUUUUCCUUCUGUAUAUCUUUAUUCUAGAAGUUUUUUUCUAUUUAUUUAUUUAUUUUUUAUUUUGAUUGUUUUUUGCCGUUAACAUUUUUUUGUUAAAAAGUAAGACCAAAACACACUUGUUAGCCUGGGCCUACACAGGGUCAUUAAGACAUCACUAAGCAACAGGAAUUUUUUCAGAUCCAUUAUAAUCUUAUGGGACCACAGUGUAUAUGCGGUCUGUUGUUGACCAAAAUAUUGUUGUGUGACACAUUAAUGGGGUGAGGAUAUUAUUCUCUAUUAUUAUCUUAUGUAAUUUUUAAAUGCCAUCAGAUAAAACACAGAAGGGAGCACAGAGCUGCCUGGUCCUGCAGCUCUCCUGGAGUGAGGUGGUGCUGCUAACCACUGGAAGCUGAAGUCCAGAGGCUCUAUUCAGUCAAGGGGUGAUGAACUCUCUUUGGGUCUGGAGACAGGCUGGAACUGGGAUGAGAUAUGGAGACCCUGCCAUUUACGACAACGUGGAUGUAUCUGCAGGACAUUAAGACAAGUGCAAUAAGCAAGACACGGAAAGAAAAUAUAGCAUGGUCUCUCUUAUAUGUGGAAUUUUAAAAAUUAACUCUGAAUACUUUGGAUUAAACUGAUUAAAUGAAGCUGUAAGCAUCUUUGAAGUACAAAUGAUACUUGGAAAGUAAAUGAAACUGGGAAUACUUGCAAGUAAAAUAUGGGAAGUCAAAGAGAUUAAAGGAUGAGAACCAGAAAUUGCUUAUGGCCAGUGUCCUGAGUAAGCCUCAGAAUCGCAUCCUAGAAGCAUCAAGUUCUUGUGUUACCCUAUGGAUCUAAAAAACGACUUCCUUAGUUUGAUGUAGUCUGCAGACAUCUCAUCAUCACAAAAACUUGAAAGCACUUACAGCACUAAGAAACUACCUUUGCAGAUUGUAAAAAAAGAUAGAAUCCUACUUAGUGUUUUGAUCACACCUGCCUAUUUCCCCAAGGUUUUACUGCAGGGUUAAAGAAUGAAUAAGCAUCUAGUUAUAUUUAAUAAACUCCAUGCCUUAUGGCUGAUUCUAAAGGCACAUGGCUUUGUUACAUUCGCUUGAAGCUCUGCUUUAUUUUCUAAAAAUGGUUGCUUACAGUGGUCCCUUGCAGCCCAUGGUGAUAGUUUAUAGGGUGCUAUGUUAUUUUUGUUUACUUGAGUGGAUAUUUAUACACAUGCCUCUUUAGAUUCAGGUGUUUUCAUUUUUUUUGUCAGGAGUUUGGUAUCCAUAUGCAGAAAAAUGCUGAUGAGUCAUUGCAUUUAUCUAUUGCUUAGAGAGAUGAUGAUGGGUCAUAAACCCAGAUAUUUAAACAAACAACCAGAAUAGUUUGUUACUUUCAGGCAAGAUUCCUGAUCGUUUUGUUGUUGUUGUUGCUGUUGUUGUUUUUCCUGCAAUGAAAGAGGCAGCAGAAGGGAAUCAGAUAAAUAACCCUCUCACAUAUCGUAUUUACUUGUAAUAUUGUUAUGCCAUCAAGUAGAACAAAAAUCAAUAUAAUUGCUUUAUAUUUAUCAAG